CCUACGGGUGGCUGCAGUGGGGAAUAUUGGACAAUGGGGGGAACCCUGAUCCAGCCAUGCCGCGUGUGUGAAGAAGGCCCUCGGGUUGUAAAGCACUUUCAGUGAGGAAGAACGCCUGGUGGUUAAUACCCAUCAGGAAAGACAUCACUCACAGAAGAAGCACCGGCUAACUCCGUGCCAGCAGCCGCGGUAAUACGGAGGGUGCGAGCGUUAAUCGGAAUUACUGGGCGUAAAGCGCGCGUAGGUGGCUUGAUAAGCCGGUUGUGAAAGCCCCGGGCUCAACCUGGGAACGGCACCCGGAACUGUCAAGCUAGAGUGCAGGAGAGGAAGGUAGAAUUCCCGGUGUAGCGGUGAAAUGCGUAGAGAUCGGGAGGAAUACCAGUGGCGAAGGCGGCCUUCUGGACUGACACUGACACUGAGGUGCGAAAGCGUGGGUAGCAAACAGGAUUAGAUACCCUGGUAGUC
rnacentral:rRNA from 1 species